CGUGCCCUCCAAGGCGAAGAAGCCCUGGUGUUUUCAAUGGCGUUGCCCGUGAGAGCUGUGCGCUCAGGACAAGAAGAGUAUAAGAAUACAUAGCACCAAGCAGAAGGGGAUCUACAAAAGUUCUCCUGCAUCCCAAAUAUCCACAGAGUUCCUUAAAGAUCAUCUGGCCUCCAGAAGAUGUGGAGAAAACAACAGGUCCAAAGACUUGAGGACCCACCAGCAAAAAGAAGCAUUCGACAGACAUUCCAAAAACAGCUCAUGCCCUG
rnacentral:lncRNA from 1 species